rnacentral:rRNA from 1 species
AUAUCAAUAAGCGGAGGAAAAGAAACCAACAGGGAUUGCCUCAGUAACGGCGAGUGAAGCGGCAAUAGCUCAAAUUUGAAAUCUGGCUCCUUCGGGGUCCGAGUUGUAAUUUGUAGAGGAUGUUUCGGGCGAGGGGCCGGUCUAAGUCUCUUUGAACGGGGCGUCAUAGAGGGUGAGAAUCCCGUAUGUGACCGGUGACUGAGCCCAUGUGAAACUCCUUCGACGAGUCGAGUUGUUUGGGAAUGCAGCUCAAAAUGGGUGGUAAAUUUCAUCUAAAGCUAAAUACCGGCCAGAGACCGAUAGCGCACAAGUAGAGUGAUCGAAAGAUGAAAAGCACUUUGGAAAGAGAGUCAAAAAGUACGUGAAAUUGUUGAAAGGGAAGCGCUUGCAACCAGACCUGCCCGCGGGUGAUCAACCGUCCUUCUGGGCGAUGCACUCGCCCGCGAUCAGGCCAGCAUCGGUUCGGGCGGUCGGAUAAAGGCCUUGGGAACGUAGCUCCUUUCGGGGAGUAUUAUAGCCCUCGGUGCAAUGCGGCCAGCCUGGACCGAGGACCGCGCUUCGGCUAGGAUGCUGGCGUAAUGGUUGUAAGCGGCCCGUCUUGAAACACGGACCAAGGAGUCUAACAUCUAUGCGAGUGUUUGGGUGGUCAAAGCCCAUACGCGUAAUGAAAGUGAACGGAGGUGGGAACCCGUUAGGGCGCACCAUCGACCGAUCCAGAUGUCUUCGGAUGGAUUUGAGUACGAGCAUAGCUGUUGGGACCCGAAAGAUGGUGAACUAUGCCUGAAUAGGGUGAAGCCAGAGGAAACUCUGGUGGAGGCUCGCAGCGGUUCUGACGUGCAAAUCGAUCGUCAAAUUUGGGUAUAGGGGCGAAAGACUAAUCGAACCAUCUAGUAGCUGGUUCCCGCCGAAGUUUCCCUCAGGAUAGCAGUAACGUUUUCAGUUUUAUGAGGUAAAGCGAAUGAUUAGAGGCCUUGGGGAUGCAACAUCCUUAACCUAUUCUCAAACUUUAAAUAUGUAAGAAGUCCUUGUUACUUAGUUGAACGUGGACAUUUGAAUGCACCGUUACUAGUGGGCCAUUUUUGGUAAGCAGAACUGGCGAUGCGGGAUGAACCGAACGUGAGGUUAAGGUGCCGGAAUGCACGCUCAUCAGACACCACAAAAGAUGUCAGUUCAUCUAGACAGCCGGACGGUGGCCAUGGAAGUCGGAAUCCGCCAAGGAGUGUGUAACAACUCACCGGCCGAAUGAACUGGCUCUGAAAAUGGAUGGCGCUCAAGCGUGCUACCUAUACCUCGCCGCCAGGGUAGAAACGAUGCCCUGGCGAGUAGGCGGGCGUGGAGGUCCGUGACGAAGCCUUGGGGGUGACCCCGGGUCGAACGGCCUCUAGUGCAGAUCUUGGUGGUAGUAA